rnacentral:rRNA from 1 species
CAGCCGCCGCGGGAAUACGUAGGGUGCGAGCGUUAAUCGGAAUCACUGGGCGUAAAGCGUGCGCAGGCGGUUGUGUAAGACAGGUGUGAAAUCCCCGGGCCUAACCUGGGAACUGCGCUUGUGACUGCACAGCUAGAGUAUGGCAGAGGGGGGUGGAAUUCCACGUGUAGCAGUGAAAUGCGUAGAGAUGUGGAGGAACACCGAUGGCGAAGGCAGCCCCCUGGGCCAAUACUGACGCUCAUGCACGAAAGCGUGGGGAGCAAACAGGAUUAGAUACCCCUGUAGUCCCUGUCUCUUAUAA